rnacentral:rRNA from 1 species
AAAAUCCGCUGUAACAAUUCUGAGGCGUGAUGGGGAAGGCCAUAUAGGCCGAAGUACAUGAUUCCAUGCUUCCAAGAAAAGCAUCUAGAGAGAGAAGUAGUGCCCGUACCGCAAACCGACACAGGUAGAUGAGGAGAGAAUCCUAAGGCCGGCGGAAGAAUUGCAGUUAAGGAACUAGGCAAAUUGACCCCGUAAGUUCGCGAGAAGGGGUGCCUGCGAGAGCAGGCCGCAGAGAAUAGGCCCAAGCAACUGUUUAGCAAAAACACAGGUCUCUGCUAAAGCGUAAGCUGAUGUAUAGGGGCUGACGCCUGCCCGGUGCUGGAAGGUUAAGGGGAACACUUAGCGCAAGCGAAGGUGUGAACUUAAGCCCCAGUAAACGGCGGCCGUAACGAUAACGGUCCUAAGGUAGCGAAAUUCCUUGUCAGGUAAGUUCUGACCCGCACGAAUGGCGUAAUGACUUGGGCACUGUCUCAACUGCAAAUCCGGCGAAGUUGUAGUGCGAGUGAAGAUGCUCGCUACCCGCGAUUGGACGGAAAGACCCCGUAGAGCUUUACUGUAGCUUAGCAUUGAAUUCCGGUAUUGUCUGUACAGGAUAGGUGGGAGACUGGGAAACUAGGGCGUCAGCCUUAGUGGAGUCAACCUUGGGAUACCACCCUGACAGUACUGGGGUUCUAACAGGACGCCAUGAAUCUGGUGACUGGACAUUGUUAGGUGGGCAGUUUGACUGGGGCGGUCGCCUCCUAAAAAGUAACGGAGGCGCCCAAAGGUUCCCUCAGAACGGUCGGAAAUCGUUCGUAGAGUGCAAAGGCAGAAGGGAGCCUGACUGCGAGACAUACAAGUCGAGCAGGGACGAAAGUCGGGCUUAGUGAUCCGGUGGUACCUCGUGGGAGGGCCAUCGCUCAACGGAUAAAAGCUACCUCGGGGAUAACAGGCUGAUCUCCCCCAAGAGUCCACAUCGACGGGGAGGUUUGGCACCUCGAUGUCGGCUCGUCGCAUCCUGGGGCUGUAGUAGGUCCCAAGGGUUGGGCUGUUCGCCCAUUAAAGCGGCACGCGAGCUGGGUUCAGAACGUCGUGAGACAGUUCGGUCCCUAUCCGUCGCGGGCGUAGGAAAUUUGAGAGGAGCUGUCCUUAGUACGAGAGGACCGGGAUGGACUGACCUCUGGUGCACCAGUUGUUCCGCCAGGAGCAUGGCUGGGUAGCUAAGUCGGGAAGGGAUAAACGCUGAAAGCAUCUAAGCGUGAAGCCUCCCUCAAGAUGAGAUUUCCCAUAGCAUAAGCUAGUAAGACCCCUUGAAGAACACAAGGUUGAUAGGUCAGAGGUGUAAGUGCGGUAACGUAUUUAGCUGACUGAUACUAAUAGGUCGAGGGCUUGACCU